rnacentral:rRNA from 1 species
AUUGAACGCUGGCGGCAGGCCUAACACAUGCAAGUCGAGCGGAUGAAGAGAGCUUGCUCUCUGAUUCAGCGGCGGACGGGUGAGUAAUGCCUAGGAAUCUGCCUGGUAGUGGGGGACAACGUUUCGAAAGGAACGCUAAUACCGCAUACGUCCUACGGGAGAAAGUGGGGAUCUUCGGACCUCACGCUAUGAGAUGAGCCUAGGUACGAUUAGCUAGUUGGUGAGGUAAAGGCUCACAAAGGAGACGAUCGUUAACUGGUCUGAGAGGAUGAUCAGUCACACUGGAACUGAGACACGGUCCAGACUCCUACGGGAGGCAGCAGUGGGGAAUAUUGGACAAUGGGCGAAAGCCUGAUCCAGCCAUGCCGCGUGUGUGAAGAAGGUCUUCGGAUUGUAAAGCACUUUAAGUUGGGAGGAAGGGCAGUAAGUUAAUACCUUGCUGUUUUGACGUUACCGACAGAAUAAGCACCGGCUAACUUCGUGCCAGCCGCCGCCGUAAUAC